CUCAGGUGGGGAUUCACCUAACAUGUUGGUUCUGAACAUGGCAUAGGGGCCAUCCUUGGAGUCAAGUGGGUCCAUGAGGCGCAGGGUGUCUCUGAUCACGGCCACUUUCACCUCCUCAUCGACAAGGCUGGGGACAUUUUCAAACACCCCUGGAGAAAGCUUGAAUGGUCUCCUACUGAGGUCCCAGAAGGCAUCGCGCUGAUUCCAUCCGAACACAACACUCGAUUGCUGAGCCUCAGGAGUAUCUCUGACUUGCUGUGUGACUGGGCCAAGCCUCUUUCCUUCUCUGUGUCUCAGUUUCCUCAUCUAUACAAUGGAGGGAUUUCUCUGCUUAGGACUUCCAGGACUCUCUCUAGAAGCUCUCUGGAGAACAAGGGUUAUGACAAGACUGCCUACAGGAUAGCACUGUGCUAUGAGAGGUCACGACCUUGUUCCCCUGUGGGGACGCCCACCCUGUGUGCAGUGAGACCGAGGCUGCCUCCCUCUCUAGGCAGGGACACAGAGCGGGGUCAAUCCUCAUUCUCAAAGUAAGGUGGAAAUCAGGGAAACCUGCAGUGUUGGACACAAAUCUGGAAAGUGUUAGAAAUUAAACGCCUUUAAGCCAU